rnacentral:rRNA from 1 species
GAUGAGCGCUGGCGGCGUGCCUAAUACAUGCAAGUCGAGCGAACAGAUGAGGAGCUUGCUCCUCUGACGUUAGCGGCGGACGGGUGAGUAACACGUGGAUAACCUACCUAUAAGACUGGGAUAACUUCGGGAAACCGGAGCUAAUACCGGAUAAUAUAUUGAACCGCAUGGUUCAAUAGUGAAAGACGGUUUUGCUGUCACUUAUAGAUGGAUCCGCGCCGCAUUAGCUAGUUGGUAAGGUAACGGCUUACCAAGGCAACGAGGCGUAGCCGACCUGAGAGGGUGAGCGGCCACGAUGGAACUGAGACACGGUCCAGACUUCUACGGGAGGCAGCAGUAGGGAAUCAUCCGCAAUGGGCGAAAGUCUGACGGAGCAACGCCGCGUGAGUGAUGAAGGUCGUGGGAUCGUAAAACUCUGUUAGUAGGGAAGAACAAAUGUGUAAGUAACUAUGCACGUCGAGACUGAACCGAAUCAGAAAGCCAGGUCUAACUACG